AAAAAUAUAUUUCUUUUGGCACAAUUACGUCCAAAUUUGUGAUUUACACCUCUUCUAUAAUCUCUGUUGUCACAUUGUUUUGUGUUCUAGGCUGCUUAGGUGUUCAAGACCUCGGCCAACUCUACCAUAGGAUAUUGAAAGAUACAGAUGGACCACCAUAAUAUGCACCAUAAAUUACUGUCGGAAUCCCAAGAAUAUUUCUGUUCUCAACUCGAAGUGGUUGCCUCUGGGAAAAAAUCAUGAAGCGAACGUGAUGAUAGACCCUGCGGGAGCCAACGUCAGUGAGCUUCUUAUGUUUUCAAUUCAGGAGCAAAUCACCUAUCAUCAAGUGAGUAGCAUGAAGUUUACAAAGGGGGUUUGUACUUAGGCUAUCUGAAAAUGCGCAGCUCGGUAGAUCUUCUGUACGUCAUCGUUCCAACAAAAACACCAAAUGUACCACCACAUUGCAAAAUAAGGGCUAAUCCACAUGUCACAGCUGAAGAAUGGGAUUGGCUGGUUAACGGCAAGGAGAUGCAUCUAAUGGAACAGAACAGCAAAAGCUCUUUGCUGAUCAGAUCGCUGCAGCUGCCGAACGGUUAUUCACUUACAUGCAAGUACUGCCUGAACACAUCAACCAACACCGCUUCUAUGAUAUCGAAGUGGUAG
rnacentral:lncRNA from 1 species